rnacentral:rRNA from 1 species
GAAUAUGGUAAAUCCGCGAAUGGCUCAUUACAACAGCCAUAGUUUAUUGGAUCUAAUAUCCUACUUGGAUAACUGUGGUAAUUCUAGAGCUAAUACGCGCACUCAAGCCCCGACUUCGGAAAGGGCGCAUUUAUUAGAACAAGACCAAUUGGCUUCGGCCAUCUAUUGGUGAAUCUGAAUAACUACGCAGAUCGCACAGGCUUGUCCUGGCGACAUAUCCUUCAAGUGUCUGCCUUAUCAACUGUCGAUGGUAGUUUAUUGGACUACCAUGGUUGUAACGGGUAACGGAGAAUUAGGGUUCGACUCCGGAGAGGGAGCCUGAGAUACGGCUACCACAUCCAAGGAAGGCAGCAGGCGCGCAAAUUACCCAAUCCCGGCACGGGGAGGUAGUGACGAAAAAUAACGAGACAGUCUUCUAUGGGGUCUGUCAUCGGAAUGGGUACAAUCU